rnacentral:piRNA from 1 species
UGUUAUCACAGAAGAAUGUCUACCGUGGG